rnacentral:rRNA from 1 species
AUUGAACGCUGGCGGCAUGCUUUACACAUGCAAGUCGAACGGCAGCGCGGGCUUCGGCCUGGCGGCGAGUGGCGAACGGGUGAGUAAUGCAUCGGAACGUGCCCAGUAGUGGGGGAUAGCCCGGCGAAAGCCGGAUUAAUACCGCAUACGACCUGAGGGUGAAAGCGGGGGACCGAAAGGCCUCGCGCUAUUGGAGCGGCCUAUGUCGGAUUAGCUAGUUGGUGGGGUAAAGGCUUACCAAGGCGACGAUCCGUAGCUGGUCUGAGAGGACGACCAGCCACACUGGGACUGAGACACGGCCCAGACUCCUACGGGAGGCAGCAGUGGGGAAUUUUGGACAAUGGGGGCAACCCUGAUCCAGCCAUGCCGCGUGCGGGAAGAAGGCCUUCGGGUUGUAAACCGCUUUUGUUCGGGAAGAAAUCCUCUGGGCUAAUACCCCGGGGGGAUGACGGUACCGGAAGAAUAAGCACCGGCUAACUACGUG